rnacentral:lncRNA from 10 species
GUCUCUGCUACCCAAGACACUAAGACCAGCCCCUCCUCUUACUCAGCCUACUCAAUGUGAAGACAAUGAGGAUGAAAACCUUUCCGAGGAUGCACUUCCACUUAAUGAACAGGCCAACCAUAUCCCCUUUCCAUAUUCCAAAUCUUUGAACAGCAUGAAUGACCAAGAAACAAAUGUCUCCAAUUAAAUAAGUGGAAAUGCGAUGUCAUCCUUACCUACACAAUCCAGGUUCCUGAUGGUUUCCUGCAUCACAUCUUUGUAGAGAUUCUUCUGACAAGGACCCAGCAA